UUACAGAAUAUUCAAGCAAUUCCAACACAGCCAAUCCAAAUCGCCAAGCUGCAGUACAUCCGAGGAAAGGAGGCAGAAGUGGCAACCAUCUCACCGAGGAGCAUGUUCGUUUCAUCGGAUGGCUGGACAUUUUUAGCAGCAGAUUUUUCCCACAUUGAACUGCGCAUCCUGGCACACCUCACCUCGGAUCCAGAGCUUCUGAGACUCUUCCAGGAGCCGGAGCCACCGGAUAUCUU